UUACCCGCUGAACUUAAGCAUAUCAAUAAGCGGAGGAAAAGAAACUAACAAGGAUUCCCCUAGUAACUGCGAGUGAAGCGGGAAAAGCUCAAAUUUAAAAUCUGGCGGCCUUUGGCCGUCCGAGUUGUAGUCUGGAGAAGUGCUUUCCGCGCUGGACCGUGUACAAGUCUCUUGGAACAGAGCGUCAUAGAGGGUGAGAAUCCCGUCUUUGACAGGGACUACCAGUGCUUUGUGAUGCGCUCUCAAAGAGUCGAGUUGUUUGGGAAUGCAGCUCAAAAUGGGUGGUAAAUUCCAUCUAAAGCUAAAUAUUGGCGAGAGACCGAUAGCGAACAAGUACCGUGAGGGAAAGAUGAAAAGCACUUUGGAAAGAGAGUUAAACAGUACGUGAAAUUGCUGAAAGGGAAACGCUUGAAGUCAGUCGCGUUGGCCGGGACUCAGCCUUGCUUUUUUGCUUGGUGCAUUUUCCGGUUGACGGGCCAGCAUCGAUUUUGACCGCUGGAAAAAGGUUGAGGGAAUGUGGCACCUCCGGGUGUGUUAUAGCCUUCAGUCACAUACAGUGGUUGGGAUCGAGGACCGCAGCACGCCUUUUAUGGCCGGGGUUCGCCCACGUUCGUGCUUAGGAUGCUGGCAUAAUGGCUUUAAACGACCCGUCUUGAAACACGGACCAAGGAGUCUAACAUGCCUGCGAGUGUUUGGGUGGAAAACCCGAGCGCGUAAUGAAAGUGAAAGUUAGGAUCCCUAUCGUGGGGAGCACUGACGCCCGGACCUGAACUUUGGUGAUGGAUCUGCGGUAGAGCAUGUAUGUUGGGACCCGAAAGAUGGUGAACUAUGCCUGAAUAGGGUGAAGCCAGAGG
rnacentral:rRNA from 2 species